ACUCCUACGGGAGGCAGCAGUGGGGAAUAUUGCACAAUGGGGGAAACCCUGAUGCAGCCAUGCCGCGUGUGUGAAGAAGGCCUUGGGUUGUAAAGCACUUUCAGUAGGGAGGAAGGUAGUGUAGUUAACACCUGCACUAUUUGACGUUACCUACAGAAGAAGCACCGGCUAACUCCGUGCCAGCAGCCGCGGUAAGUACGGAGGGUGCGAGCGUUAAUCGGAAUUACUGGGCGUAAAGCGCAUGCAGGCGGCCUGUUAAGUCAGAUGUGAAAGCCCGGGGCUUAACCUCGGAAUUGCAUUUGAAACUGGCAGGCUAGAGUCUUGUAGAGGGGUUAGAAUUUCAGGUGUAGCGGUGAAAUGCGUAGAGAUCUGAAGGAAUACCGAGUGGCGAAGGCGGCCCCUGGACAAAGACUGACGCUCAGAUGCGAAAGCGUGGGAGCAAACAGGAUUAGAUACCCCUGGUAGCGACU
rnacentral:rRNA from 1 species